UACGUAGGGCGCAAGCGUUGUCCGGAAUUACUGGGCGUAAAGCGCACGCAGGUGGCUGAGAAAGUCGAUUGUGAAAGCCCUGGGCUUAACCUGGGAAUUGCAGUCGAAACUACUCGGCUAGAGUAUGGGAGAGGACAGUGGAAUUCCCGGUGUAGCGGUGAAAUGCGUAGAUAUCGGGAGGAACAUCAGUGGCGAAGGCGGCUGUCUGGCCCAAUACUGACACUCAGGUGCGACAGCGUGGGGAGCAAACAGG
rnacentral:rRNA from 1 species